rnacentral:miRNA from 1 species
UAUAUCAGAACCAUCUAGAUC